CGUCGCACGAGCCCCGCCCCCUGACGCUCCCUGCGGAAGGCGUGGCCGGAGCUUCCGAGCGCGCUCGGCUCUUUCCGCCGGCCCGCCGCGCGGGAGGCCGACUCCCUGGCCUCUGCUCUAGAGCACUUUUGCUUCCUGGCGCGCUGAGACCUCAGGCCUCCCGGACACUUCUGAUCGUGUUGGGACAAGCCAUCUCACUUGCUUUUCUUUGAGUUUUGAUGACUAAAAUGAGGGAGACAGCAUUGGCCUGUGACUCAAAGGGACCAGGAAGCCUGAUAAAACUGGGCACCUGAUUUUGAGGUCACCGAAGGCUCGUCUCCAGCUUCCUCUGUCCACUUGAGAGCUUCUGACCUUCCUCAAGGCAGAAACCACAACAUUCCUCUCCAAGCAUGACAUGCGUCUCUCCAUGGAGAAGGAAUCUCUCAGUGUUCAUGUCACUUUCUGAUUUGAUUCUGGUCUAAACCUGGCCAGAGAGAUUGGGCGAUCCAUAGAAGACCUGACGUUCUCUUUGCUCAAACGGUCGUCUUGUAUCUUUGAAGACUUCUAGAUGGAGUGAUGGACUUCCUGGACGCUCAGUUGUUAAAGAAUCCAUCUGCAAUGCAGGAGAGCCUGGUUCAAUACCAAGUUCAGCAGAACUUCACCUUUUACAGGACGCACAGAAGAGGGCCGGCACUUUGUGGUUCUGCCAGUUGCACUGGUCGAGUCUCUAGGAGGAACCCUCGGUUCUGAUGAAGACGUGGAGGUCGUUGGCAUCUCUUGGCUUGAUGGCCUGAAGCAAUACCGGUUAAUACCUACAUAGAGGAAACACCUAAAGCCAGUGAGCGUGAAUCUAUAAAUGCCUAUUUUCAGAAAUACCGAUUCUUUCAUUGUUCUGCUUUAAUGAAGUCGGUACUUCCAAACAAAAAGAGAGAUGGAAAUAAGAACGGAGAACUGAGAACAGGUUGUGUUCUCAAACUACGUCUGACACAUGAAAAACUUUAAAACCCUGAUUUUGAUUGUCUCGUGUGACUAUGAAACCAGAAAAGAACUAAAUUUGGGAAAUGAUUAAAGGUAUGUCACCCCUACCCUCCCAAAUCAAAUCUCUCUCUCUCUCUCUUUUUUUUUUUUUUUACUUCUUUACGGUAAAGAUUUUCAUUUGCUUUAUGUCCAGUUAAGUAUUUAGUUCUUUGCAGAACUGGAUCAGUUAUUCACUGUCUUGCUCCUUUUGAGCUGAGCCAUGGUGUUCUUUUUCAGCUGCGUAUCACAAAGUAAACAAGUAUAGAAAUUUCUCCUUUGAAGAUUCCGCAUGAGUCUGUUGCUGGUUAGAUUUUCCCUGCAGAAAUCAAACAGAGUUUCCUGUUGCAUGUUUACCAAAGCCCUUUCUCUCCAGAAAGAACAAACGCAGUGCUACAAUUUUCCCAUUUGUUAAUUUUUCCCGUUGAGCUCAGUCCUUCCCCUGAAAUAUCUUCUUUCUCGUAGUCCACCUCGUUUAGCGGUAAAUACAGAGGAUUACAAACAUUCUUGUCAGAUAUAAAACAUUUCAGGAAAUUUAAUUUCUUCAGUCAUGGAUUUUAGCCAUAAUGAUACUCUGCAUUUGUAUAAAAUCUCCGCUAUGAGAAACCCAAGCCCCGUCUUCAUUAUCUGGAGACAAGCAUUAUUAUCAUAAUUUAGCAUCCUGUGUAACUGAGUCACAGGAAAUGAACCAGAAAUAAAUCAUACCUGGAGUGCAACUUACAAAAGAAUGUAGCCCCAAAGAGAGACGACUGCUUUGUGCCUUGGAAAGUUUCAUGCUGGAGGACAGUAUGGCUGGGGACCAUUUAGGGAAGAAGGGGUCUCAAUGGAUGGGUGUGGGGUAGGAGUCGGAGUUGAUGGGGAGGGGGGUCGGGGGCCGGGUGGUGGAGGAACUCAAGGACAAAGGCUUCGGUACUGCUGCUGAAUCCUGCUCCCUGAGAGCCGGCCUGGGAGCCUUCUCUGAUGUAUCAUGCCCUCAGCCCAUCCAGGAAGCCGCCUGUUCUCCACUUGGGACCCUGCUGGGUGCUGAGCCAAGAUGCAGCUGGUUCUGUGGGCCCCCGCUCCCCUGCCCACGUGACCCAGUGUGGUCCUGCCUGGGGAUGAAUUGCUCACAGCCCCCUGGACCUGACACUCAGAGUCCUUAGUGAUCUAGAUUUUCACCCCCAGGGGCUUUCUCUGCUCAAACCAGCUUCCCAAAUCAGAGCAGAUGUGCUUAAGAAAAAGGAGGGAAGAGGAAGCUGUGAUGAGCAAGGUUCUCCUGGUGACCCCGGUGAGACUGAAGGGAGCUGUGAGCUUCUCCGUGUCCUUGAAGAUUCCUUCCCCACUGAGCGCUGAGAGCGGGGCUUUCUGCCAUGGUUCAUCCUAUCUGACAGGUCCAUGGGGGAAAGUGGAACUGGCAGGAGUGGUAAAUUGGGGAGGGUCAGAUGAUUCUCCCCCUCCCGGUGUGGAAAGCGUGGUGCCUACCAGCUGCUGUCUGUGGGCUUUGUCCUUGGGGGUUUCUCACCGCUUCUGGUGGUGCUUUUUUUAAUCUCAAGGUAGAAAUCAAUGAACGACUCUGUUCUAGCAUGAAAGACACACUAACCAGCUCUUGAAACUGAGAUAACUAAUCACUGCAAGUGGGAGGAUGCUAUGGGACCAAGAAUUGCCUAAACACAAGAGGCUCCCAGGUGACUCAGUGGUGAAGAAUCCACCUGCAAUAGAGGAGACUUGGGUUCGAUCCCUGG